UACGUAGGGUGCGAGCGUUUGUCCGGAAUUAUUGGGCGUAAAGAGCUCGUAGGCGGUUAGUCACGUCGGAUGUGAAAACCCGGAGCUUAACUCCGGGCCUGCAUUCGAUACGGGCUGACUAGAGUGUUGUAGGGGAGACUGGAACUCCUGGUGUAGCGGUGAAAUGCGCAGAUAUCAGGAAGAACACCGGUGGCGAAGGCGGGUCUCUGGGCAACUACUGACGCUGAGGAGCGAAAGCGUGGGGAGCAAACAGG
rnacentral:rRNA from 1 species